AUGUGGUGCAGAGACAGAAAUACUCUCCAGAGUCAAUCUAUGCUAUGCCUAGGCAAACAGAUUUUUGGCAGACCUCCCUUUUUGCCUGAGACUGGACAAAAGAAGCCAGCUUCAGGUGAAAAUCCUCCAGGACGUCACGGGCCAAGACCUCCUACCUAUUUAAUGGAUGUGGCAGAGAAAAAUGUCACAGAAUCUUCAUGCAAGUCUGAUCUGAAAGCUAAUGCUCACCUUUCCUUACCCCCACUGCCUAGACUUGCAAGUCAGUUAGUGAGGGUGGACAAACAAACAUCUCUGCAUGAAUGCCCUGUUGCUCUGUCCACGAACAUGCCUGUUCUAGAACAAACCCAUUUCCCUGUGAAACCUCUAGUUGGACAGAACAAGUCAGCUGGACAUUUCUUCUUGCCAGAAGCUGAAGAGAAGACAUCAGUUUCAGGUGAAAGACCUCUGGGGCGUCGAGGGUCCAGACCUACUAACCAUUCAAUGAGCAUGACAAAGAGAAGCGUCAAUGACGCUUUAUGUGAGUCUGAUCGGAAAACUACCGCUCACCUCUCCUUACCCCCACUUACCAGUUUUGCAAGUCGACCAGCGAGGGUGGACAAACGUAUGACUCUGCAUGAACACCACAUGGCUGUGUCCACAAAAAUGACUGUUCUGGAACCAACCCGUGUUCCUGUGAAGCCUCUAGUUGGACAGAACAAGUCAGCUGGACAUUUCUUCUUGCCAGAAGCUGAAGAGAAGACAUCAGUUUCAGGUGAAAGACCUCUGGGGCGUCGAGGAUCCAGACCUACUAACCGUUCAAUGAGCAUGACAAAGAGAAAUGUCAUUGAACAUUUAUGUGAGUCUGAUCGAAAAACUACCGCUCACCUCUCCCUACCUUGGCUGCCCAGUUUUGCAAGUCGACCAGCGAGGGUGGACAAACGUACGUCUCUGCAUGAACACCCCGUUGCUGUGUCCACAAAAAUGACUGUUCUGGAACCAACCUGUGUUCCUGUUAAGCCACUUGCUGGCCCACACAAAAGAUGA
ensembl:lncRNA